rnacentral:rRNA from 1 species
UACGUAGGGGGCGAGCGUUGUCCGGAUUUAUUGGGCGUAAAGAGCGUGUAGGCGGCCAGGCAGGUCUGCUGUGAAAACUCGAGGCUCAACCUCGAGACGUCGGCGGAAACUAUCUGGCUAGAGUCCGGAAGAGGAGAGUGGAAUUCCUGGUGUAGCGGUGAAAUGCGCAGAUAUCAGGAAGAACACCCGUGGCGAAGGCGGCUCUCUGGGACGGUACUGACGCUGAGACGCGAAAGCGUGGGGAGCGAACAGG